GGCUGUGUAGUGUAGUGGUAAUCACUCCGGAUUUUGAAACAUCAAAAUCGUGUAUUCCGGCAACCAGAGUUCGAAUCUCUGCACGGCCU